rnacentral:tRNA from 2 species
ACGGGAAUAGCUCAGUUGGUAGAGCAUCGGUCUCCAAAACCGAGGGUCGUGGGUUCGAGUCCUCCUUCCCGUGCCA